AUAAAAAUAUAUAAAAAAUAUUCCAUGAAAAAAAGACAGAGAGAGAGAGAGAGAGGACCCACCCACAUUGGUGUGAACAGCCAUUGGCAGCCAGGUUUGCAUAAACAGAGGAGAAAGACAGGAGCGUUGUUCAUCGACGUUAUCGUCUGAUUGGAUUGUCUAUAUAAAUUUCAAAAAAAAAAAAAAAACCCAAUGAGAAAAAAGAAGAAAAACUUUGAAUCCAACUCUUCAACGAAGUUUAUUUAUUCUUUAUCACUCACUUAAAAUCAUUAGUCACUGCCAUUUGGAAAAUCACCAAUCUUCUUUUUCGCUGAUUUCUGACCUGUUUUUUAAGUGCUGGAAAGAAGACUUGGGCAAUGACUUAAACCCAUUUCAACCUUAUUUGUUGAGUUGUGAAGAAUUUGUGUUGUCUGCUUAUAUCUAGUUGAGCAUCUUCAGAAAACCCAAUUUGUCGAUUUGAGGCUUUUGAUCUUUAUUGGCAAUGGAAAACCUACCUGUUGAAGUCAUUGGAAACAUUUUAUCUCGGCUUGGAGGUGCCCGAGAUGUGGUAAUAGCAUCUGCAACAUGUCGAAAAUGGCGAGAGGCUUGUCGGAAACACCUUCAUACCCUAGCAUUUAAUUCUAAUGAUUGGCCUGCUUUUCAUGAUGUUACACCUAGACGAUUAGAGAUCUUGAUUACUCAAACAAUAUUCCAAACUACAGGAUUGGAAGGCCUAUCGAUUUUGAUGGAUGAUGUUGAUGAGUUCUCGGCUUCAACUGUUAUCGCUUGGCUCAUGUAUACGAGGGAAACCUUGCGCCGGUUGUUUUAUAAUGUCCGGACUAGCCCUAAUGUUAACAUUCUCGAAAUCUGUGGGAGGCAGAAGCUGGAAAAGUUGGCACUAUCCCAUAAUUCAAUAACAGGGGUUGAACCUAAUUUUCAGAGAUUCCCUUGUUUGAAGUCCCUCUCACUGAGUCAUGUUAGUAUUUCGGCUUUGGAUUUGAGCCUUUUGCUCACUGCAUGUCCAAAGCUUGAGAGCUUGGAACUUGUCAAUCCAGAAAUAGCAAUGUCAGAUGCACAGGUGACAGUGGAAUUAAGCAGCCCAACAUUAAAGAGUAUUUAUGUUGAAGCAAUUAGUUUGGAUAAAUUUAUGCUGGAGGCUGAUAGUAUUGAGCGUUUGCAUUUGAGGGAUUGUGCCCUUGAACUUUUUGAACUGAUUGGGAAAGGUACUCUGAAAUAUUUCAAGAUUGAUGAUGUUAGCGUGAUACAUCUUGACAUUGGUGAGACUGUUGAUAAUCUUGAGGUUGUUGAUGUCAGUAACUUCACAAUCAUCUGGCCAAAAUUCUACCAGAUGAUUUCAAGAUCCUCAAAAUUGAGGAAGCUUCGGCUUUGGGAUGUGGCCUUUGAUGAUGAAGAUGAGGUUGUGGAUUUGGAAACAAUUGCAGUUUAUUUUCCACAAUUGAACCAUCUUUCAUUAAGUUAUGAAUUGCGAGAUGGCAUCAUGCAUUAUGGUCUCCAAGGAUCUUCUAAUUUGGAGAAUGUGAUGGUGCUGGAGCUUGGAUGGACUGUAAUUAAUGAUCUCUUUGCACAUUGGGUCGAGGAGCUGUUAAAACGAUGCCCAAAUCUUAAAAAAAUGAUUAUUUUUGGGGUUGUUUCAGAAGCCAAGUCACAUGAAGAAUGCCAGAUAUUGGCCAACUUCACCUCAUCAAUUGUUCAGCUUAUGAGGAAAUAUAUGCAUGUAGAGGUUCAGUUUGAAUAUGAGUAAAAUUCUCUCAAUUGCAUUGUUAAAUUCAAGUAUUGGUUGAAUCAUGAACCAUAUAAGCAGAUAUGAAGAUUUGUAUCAGAAUACUGGAACAAAUGUUAUGUUGCAAAUGCUAUAUACAUGGCCACAUUGACAUAUGUUAUGACCUAUAAAAUGAAAUCAGAUCAGGACCAUUGAUUGAUAAAAUAACAGGAUGCGAUGAGAAGAUUCUGAGUCUAUAUGGGAAUGGUUGCAUGGUAUAUUUAUUUCAGCUGAAGAAAUGAGUACAUGUUGUAAAUCUACAUGAACUUUCUGUUUCCUGUGUCAAUGGACAGAUAUGUGCUUUACUUUGUGUUCUUUAUGUAUUUACUGUUCGUAAUUUUUUAGACUAGGAUGCUCCACAGUUGCUGCUCGGUUUGACAACUCUCUGUUUGGGUUGCCUCAGGAAUACUGCCUGCACUGCAGCACUGGAAUGGAAAGAAACUUCCAAUGGUUCCUCGAUUCUUUUCUUUUCUUUGUGGCGGACUUAUGAACAUAGUAUUAUGACUUCUGAGUAGUAUAUGCUAUCAGGUCUCAGCAAAUUUAAUUUGUCGGUCUACCUCUUAUAUCACUCCUUUUCUGGUGGGUGGUAUUAGAUUGACUGAAUUUGAAUGUUGAAGUUUGAUUUAGUAUCACUACUGUGGUUUUAACAAUUCAUUUGUGACUUUUAACACUUUCAAACAUAAAUUAUUACGUUGAAAUACAGUUCAGCUGUUGUACAUUACAUUUGGUGAGAUCAUUGCAAGGAAGCAACCUGAUGAAUUCGAGGAUCUGAAAAUGCUGCAAUUUCAUUUUCUGUGUCAUUCAGGUUCUUCUUUCUUCUUUCUUCAUGGCUACCUUGCUGAAUGGCUGAAAGGCUGAAAGGGAAAUCCUUGGUGUUCCAACAGUGGCUCACUAUUGCAUUGCACGUGUUCUUUUAAGGCCAUGUGAAAGAAUUUGUGGUUGGGGAAGAACAUUGACAAAAACAAAGUGUUUUGCCUUUUAGGCUCCAUAUAUUAGUCAGAGUAUUAGAAAUAAACUUGUCAGCAGAUGGUCAAAAUUAUACUCCCAAUUGGGCCAUUGGGAAGAAAUUCUUCAAAUUCUUAGUGUAUAUACCCGACCAAGUGGAGGAAAAGAACUUGCUUGCUUGUAUAGCUGGCUAAGGAAAAUUGUUCAACCAACUCUCAUCUACCAAUUCUGGGGUAGGAUAACCAAAGCUACAGGUCACCUUAUAAUAGUAAUAAUUUUCAAUUUUCGGC